CCUACGGGAGGCAGCAGUCGAGAAUCUUUCACAAUGGGGGAAACCCUGAUGCUGCGACGCCGCGUGGGGGAAUGAAGGUCUUCGGAUUGUAAACUCCUGUCAUGUGGGAGCAAAUUAAAAAGAUAGUACCACAAGAGGAAGAGACGGCUAACUCGGUGCCAGCAGCCGCGGUAAUACAGAGGUCUCAAGCGUUGUUCGGAAUCACUGGGCGUAAAGCGUGCGUAGGCGGUUUCGUAAGUCGUGUGUGAAAGGUGCGGGCUCAACCCGCGGACGGCACAUGAUACUGCGAGACUAGAGUAAUGGAGGGGGAACCGGAAGUCUCGGUGUAGCAGUGAAAUGCGUAGAUAUGGAGAGGAACACUCGUGGCGAAGGCGGGUUCCUGGACAUUAACUGACGCUGAGGCACGAAGGCCAGGGGAGCGAAAGGGAUUAGAUACCCUUGUAGUC
rnacentral:rRNA from 1 species